rnacentral:rRNA from 1 species
UUAGAGUUUGAUCCUGGCUCAGGACGAACGCUGGCGGCAUGCCUAAUACAUGCAAGUCGAACGCUGAAGCACUCUGCUUGCAGAGUGCGGAUGAGUGGCGAACGGGUGAGUAACACGUGGGAAAUCUGCCUAGGAGUGGGGGAUAACAUUCGGAAACGGAUGCUAAUACCGCAUAUCUUUUUGAACCGCAUGGUUCUUAAACGAAAGACGGCUUCGGCUGUCGCUCUUAGAUGAUCCCGCGGCGUAUUAGUUAGUUGGUGGGGUAAAGGCCUACCAAGACCAUGAUACGUAGCCGACCUGAGAGGGUGAUCGGCCACACUGGGACUGAGACACGGCCCACACUCCUACGGGAGGCAGCAGUAGGGAAUCUUCCACAAUGGGUGAAAACCUGAUGGAGCAAUGCCGCGUGAAUGAAGAAGGUCUUCGGAUCGUAAAGUUCUGUUAUUAGAGAAGAACAAGUCAAGGAGUAACUGUCUUGACUUUGACGGUACCUAACCAGAAAGUCACGGCUAACUACGUGCCAGCAGCCGCGGUAAUACGUAGGUGACAAGCGUUGUCCGGAAUUAUUGGGCGUAAAGGGAGCGCAGGCGGUUGGAAUAGUCUGAUGUGAAAGUCCACGGCUUAACCGUGGAAGGUCAUUGGAAACUGUCCAACUUGAAUGCAGAAGAGGUAAGUGGAAUUCCUUGUGUAGCGGUGAAAUGCGUAAAUAUGUGGAAGGAACCCCAGUGGGCGAAAGCUACUUACUGGUCUGUAAUUGGACGCUGGAGGCUCGAAAAGCGUGGGGA